rnacentral:rRNA from 1 species
GACUCGUCACACUAUCAUUAACUGAAUCCAUAGGUUAAUGAGGCGAACCGGGGGAACUGAAACAUCUAAGUACCCCGAGGAAAAGAAAUCAACCGAGAUUCCCCCAGUAGCGGCGAGCGAACGGGGAGGAGCCCAGAGCCUGAAUCAGCAUGUGUGUUAGUGGAAGCGUCUGGAAAGGCGCGCGAUACAGGGUGACAGCCCCGUACACAAAAGCGCAUGUGCUGUGAGCUCGAUGAGUAGGGCGGGACACGU